rnacentral:rRNA from 1 species
AGAGUUUGAUCCUGGCUCAGAUUGAACGCUGGCGGCAUGCCUUACACAUGCAAGUCGAACGGCAGCACGAGAGCUUGCUCUUGGUGGCGAGUGGCGAACGGGUGAGUAAUAUAUCGGAACGUACCCUAGAGUGGGGGAUAACGUAGCGAAAGUUACGCUAAUACCGCAUACGAUCUACGGAUGAAAGUGGGGGAUCGCAAGACCUCAUGCUCAUGGAGCGGCCGAUAUCUGAUUAGCUAGUUGGUGGGGUAAAAGCUCACCAAGGCGACGAUCAGUAGCUGGUCUGAGAGGACGACCAGCCACACUGGAACUGAGACACGGUCCAGACUCCUACGGGAGGCAGCAGUGGGGAAUUUUGGACAAUGGGCGCAAGCCUGAUCCAGCAAUGCCGCGUGAGUGAAGAAGGCCUUCGGGUUGUAAAGCUCUUUUGUCAGGGAAGAAACGGUGGACUCUAAUACAGAUCACUAAUGACAGUACCUGAAGAAUAAGCACCGGCUAACUACGUGCCAGCAGCCGCGGUAAUACGUAGGGUGCAAGCGUUAAUCGGAAUUACUGGGCGUAAAGCGUGCGCAGGCGGUUGUGCAAGACAGAUGUGAAAUCCCCGGGCUCAACCUGGGAAUUGCAUUUGUGACUGCACGGCUAGAGUGUGUCAGAGGGGGGUAGAAUUCCACGUGUAGCAGUGAAAUGCGUAGAGAUGUGGAGGAAUACCGAUGGCGAAGGCAGCCCCCUGGGAUAACACUGACGCUCAUGCACGAAAGCGUGGGGAGCAAACAGGAUUAGAUACCCUGGUAGUCCACGCCCUAAACGAUGUCUACUAGUUGUCGGGUCUUAAUUGACUUGGUAACGCAGCUAACGCGUGAAGUAGACCGCCUGGGGAGUACGGUCGCAAGAUUAAAACUCAAAGGAAUUGACGGGGACCCGCACAAGCGGUGGAUGAUGUGUAUUAAUUCGAUGCAACGCGAAAAACCUUACCUACCCUUGACGUGUCUGGAAUCCUUGAGAGAUCAGGGAGUGCUCGAAAGAGAAUCAGAACACAGGUGCUGCAUGGCUGUCGUCAGCUCGUGUCGUGAGAUGUUGGGUUAAGUCCCGCAACGAGCGCAACCCUUGUCAUUAGUUGCUACGAAAGGGCACUCUAAUGAGACUGCCGGUGACAAACCGGAGGAAGGUGGGGAUGACGUCAAGUCCUCAUGGCCCUUAUGGGUAGGGCUUCACACGUCAUACAAUGGUACAUACAGAGGGCCGCCAACCCGCGAGGGGGAGCUAAUCCCAGAAAGUGUAUCGUAGUCCGGAUUGUAGUCGGUAACUCGACUACAUGAAGUUGGAAUCGCUAGUAAUCGCGGAUCAGCAUGUCGCGGUGAAUACGUUCCCGGGUCUUGUACACACCGCCCGUCACACCAUGGGAGCGGGUUUCACCAGAAGUGGGUAGCCUAACCGCAAGGAGGGCGCUCACCACGGUGGGAUUCGUGACUUGGGUGAAGUCGUAACAAGGUA